UACGUAGGUGGCGAGCGUUGUCCGGAUUUACUGGGCGUAAAGGGCGUGCAGGCGGUUUGUUAAGUGCAGGGUGAAAGCUCCCGGCUCAACUGGGAGAGGUCCUUGCAUACUGGCGAACUCGAGGGAGGCAGAGGAAAGUGGAAUUCCCGGUGUAGUGGUGGAAUGCGUAGAGAUCGGGAGGAACACCAGUGGCGAAGGCGGCUCUCUGGACCCUUGCCUGACGCUGAGGCGCGAAAGCGUGGGGAGCGAUCCGG
rnacentral:rRNA from 1 species